rnacentral:rRNA from 1 species
GAUUCGUGACUGGGGUGAAGUCGUAACAAGGUAGCCGUAUCGGAAGGUGCGGCUGGAUCACCUCCUUUCUAGA